CCUACGGGAGGCAGCAGUAAGGAAUAUUGGACAAUGCUCGCAAGAGUGAUCCAGCCAUGCCGCGUGCAGGAAGAAUGCCCUAUGGGUAGUAAACUGCUUUUGAACUAGAGAAAAUCCCAGUACGUGUACUGGGCUGAUAGUAUAGUUAGAAUAAGCAUCGGCUAACUUCGUGCCAGCAGCCGCGGUAAGACGAAGGAUGCAAGCGUUAUCCGGAUUCAUUGGGUUUAAAGGGAGCGUAGGUGGACUGAUAAGUCAGUGGUGAAAUCUCCGAGCUUAACUCGGAAAUUGCCAUUGAUACUGUUGGUCUUGAGUACAGUUGCUGUGGGCGGAAUAUGACAUGUAGUGGUGAAAUACAUAGAGAUGUCAUAGAACACCGAUUGCGAAGGCAGCUCACAAAGCUGUAACUGACACUGAGGCUCGAAAGUGCGGGGAUCAAACAGGAUUAGAUACCCUGGUAGUCCGCACCGUAAACGAUGAUUACUCGCUGCUAGGGGGCAACCGUUUAGUGGCUUAGCGAAAGCGAUUAGUUAAUCCNCGNGGNGNGCGGCGACGAGACGACANAGAGUUAGAGGCGNGAGAGNGCGACGGACGACGACGAGGGAGGAAGG
rnacentral:rRNA from 1 species